UAGCAAUCUAUGCGGUAUUCAUUAAAUGAAUCGUUAUUGAAUUAGUUGAGUGUAAAAGUGACUUUAUCAUAGAAUCAUUUUUACUACGGCGCUAGGAAGAGACGUUAAUUAAAUUACCUUGCUACAACAAUCAAACGUAAAUACAAUGCAUAUAUUGAUGAGUUUCAUUGUUACGCUAAUAUACAAGAUAGAUCAGCCUAAUGCUGAAUUUUUUACAUUUGUUUAGAUA